rnacentral:rRNA from 1 species
UACGGAGGGGGCAAGCGUUGUCCGGACUUACUGGGCGUAAAGGGUGCGUAGGCGGCCUGCUGCGUCGGUGCUGAAAGCGCCCGGCUUAACCGGGCGAGGCGUGCCGAUACGAGCGGGCUGGAGCCUUGGCGGGGGUGGCGGAACUCCUGGUGUAGUGGUGAAAUGCGUAGAGAUCAGGAAGAACACCCGUGGCGCAAGCGGCCACCUGGCCAAGAGCUGACGCUGAGGCACGAGAGCGUGGGGAGCGAACCGG